rnacentral:lncRNA from 1 species
AUUGCAAUGUGUUCAUGGGUGACACGAUGAAGAAACUGGGAGGGCACUGAGACUGGGUUUCCAAAUCCACUGGGGGUGCUCAUUCCAGCUGCUGGGGAGCCUCUGCGGCGGAGGCAGCAACUGGGGCCACCCUGGGGGCUGUGGCCCUUCAGUGCCAGGGCCAUGGUCACAGCGGACAGCCUGGAACCCCAGCCACCAGCCUCCAUUCCCGGGGCCUCUCGGAGAUGAUCUGAAAGCACAGGCUCCAUGGACGCAGAGGCCACUCCUCAUGCCCUACACCAUCCUCCUUUCCUGUGCCAGUGACAGCGCCACCCCCUGACCCGCCAACUCUCAGGUAAGUCACUGAGUCACUAAGCACUCGAAUCAUCUCACCAAAGCUGGGGACAAAGGGUCUUUGUCCUGCUUCAGGAGACAAUGUCCCAACACAUUGUUGUCCCCCAAAUAUCCCCAAGCCACGCUGGAUGUCUCACCUGUGUCCACCAGCUCCAGUUUCUCACUCAUUCAACAACUCACCUUGAACCUAGACGUAAACAAGAUGGAGCACCAUCUUGUUCAUCGUGCGUCCCGUGGUGUGUUGGGAAGACAGGUUGGGAGGACAGCAGUGGCGGUGGGGAGGGGCUGCUCCCGGAAGAGAAGAGGAGAAGGCAGUACAGUGCCCCUCGAGAAUGGAGUGGGUUUGGCAACACAGAGGUCACUGGAGACCUUGGUGAGACCUCUUUUGAUGCUCAGUGCUCCACUGGUUUAGUGGAGCUUCCAAUUCCAGGAAAGGAAACUGACAACUCAUUAGUGAACAUGAAUAUAGUUUCUACACAGCAAAUCAAACAAGUAAGGGACUGGGAACAGUGGGGAGCAGGUGUGGGGGAGGGCAGGACCCUGAGGAGGGGACACAUGAGCUGAGGCUGAAUACAGUGAGGGUGGGGACCCUGAGAAUAGCUCGGUGCAGGGCGGGCAUUACAGGUUAGGGAAUGGCGAGUACAAAGGCCCCGGGGUGGGAAUGAGCUACACGCUGGACCCAGGGAACCUGGCAGAACACAGUGUGGCAGGGUGCCCAGGAGGGUGCCACGGGGUUGGCAGAGCCAGAUGGAGAAUGGGGGCUAUUUAAGGAAUGGGAAGACAGGGGAGGUCAGGUUUCCGGCAUGGACGUGCUGCUGUGAGCUGUUGGCAGUUGUCCGAUUCAGCCUGUAAGCUGUUGAGACGCUGAGGUGUUGGGUGGGCGGACAAACAUCUGGAUUCCAGGGUGGAGGUCAGAGAGGUCAGAGCUGGGUAGACGCAUGUGGGGCUAUCACCAUAGGAAUGGCAUUUAAAGGGACUGGACUGUCGGCCGGGCACGGUGGCUCACGCCUGUAAUCCCAGCACUUCAGGAGGCCAAGGCGGGCGGUUCACCUGAGGUCAGGAGUUUGAGACCAGCCUGGCCAACAUGGUGAAACCUCAUCUCUACUAAAAAUACAAAAAUUAGCUGAGCAUGGUGGCACACAUCUGUAAUCCCAGCCUCUUGGGAGGCUGAGGCAGGAGAAUCACUUGAACCUGCGAGGUGGAGGUUGCAGUGAGCUGAGAUUGCGACAUUGCACUCCA